AUUGAACGCUGGCGGCAGGCCUAACACAUGCAAGUCGAACGAGUGGCGGACGGGUGAGUAAUGUCUGGGAAACUGCCCGAUGGAGGGGGAUAACUACUGGAAACGGUAGCUACUACCGCAUACCCUCGGAUGUGACCCGAUGGGAUUAGCUGGUGGGUGGGGUAACGCCUCACUUAGGCGACGAUCCCUAGCUGGUCUGAGAGGAUGACCAGCCAAACUGGAACUGAGACCCGGUCCAGCCUCCUACGGGAGGCAGCAGUGGGAAUUAUUCCACAAUGGGCGCAAGCCUGAUGCACCCAUGCCGCGUGUAUGAAGAGGGCCUUCGGGUUGUAAAGUACUUUCAGCGAGGAGGCGUUACUCGCAGAGGAAGCACCGGCUAACUCCGUGCCAGCCGCCGCGGUAAUAC
rnacentral:rRNA from 1 species